UUCUUAUAAAGAAAGGUGGAGGGAAUGGCCCAAUGAAACCCAGCAACCUUUGAGACCUUUUCAAAAAGCUGCUAAUUCCAGCAGACAGUAGUUCUGACAGAUAAAAU
rnacentral:ncRNA from 1 species